AACAGGUGGCCAUUCUCCCAGGGUGUUACUGUGACGUCUGAGCUGUGUGACAACGCAGAGAUUCACACCCUGUCCCGAUCCCUGCAAAUAUUCAUUAGACUCUGUACUCUUUUUAAGCAGAUCUGCCAAAGCCUGGAAAUGAAAUUUCAUUCAUUUAUGACCAAGUUACAGGACACAGGCAGCUAUUUUCAAAACCAUUCCUAAUGCUGCCUUUACUACCUGCUGGCUUCACAUCAGAGCUCUUUUUUUUGGCCCAAUCUGUGACCCCACACACAUUCAGCCAACGUGAAGCUGAGUUUUAUUUCAUAUGCUGCCAUACACUAUUCAGCAGUGUGCUGCACUAUUUGCCUAGCCUCCGAGCGAGUUCGCAGACUCUCCGCACUGUCUCAAACCAAAAGCCUUGCUGCUGUCUCCACAACUUGGUGUGCUGCAGGUGCAGUCGUGCAAGUAAGGGUGAAACGUACAGAGCAGGAACGGAGCUGAUCCAUGCUGGAUUCAAGACUACAGUCGUUCAAUUCUUGACCCUUGACCAUCAUGCGAAUUCACUUAAAGCUGGCAAUGAGAGAGAGAAGGGAAAAGAGAAGUAUAACGGCAGAGACAUCCCUGAAUGAGAAGGUCAGAGCAAAUUAAAAUUGCAGGCGUUUCAUUUUUGCCGUUGGAGUAGGAAUACUGUGCGCUGUUAAGCAGCUGCCACGUUCCUCCCCAGAGAUGGCUGCAUUUCAGCGCUGGGUGAAUGGGUGACCUUGGAUUCUGGAAGCAGGUAUUCCCAUUUGAAGUCAACAGGAAAUCUGCCUUGCGGAGACUGCAGGAGUCAGGACUGUAAAGCAGCACUGAGAUCCAUUUAGUUGAAAAAUAACAACAAUUAUAGGUAUUAUUUCACCGUAUAAAUGAACAUCCGAUGCUUAGUUUCAUCUUUUGAAGAAGUAAACUCCCAGGAGGCUCCAGAGGAAAGGAAGACACUUAGAGGAGCCUGGAUACCGUUUCCCGAGGAGCAGAGGCGGCACACAUUUAUCAUAUUAAAACAAAAACCAAACAAACAGAAGGAAAGGAGGACCCAGCUCUCGGCAGCACUCACACCGACAGGAGCUGGUGGAGAAGCCAAUGGAAAGGAAAAUUCAGGCUUUGUCGAGCUCUUUGCAAUCUGAGAAAGGAGGGGAAAAACCAAAC